rnacentral:rRNA from 1 species
UACGAAGGGGGCUAGCGUUGCUCGGAAUGACUGGGCGUAAAGGGCGCGUAGGCGGUUUGUACAGUCAGGUGUGAAAUUCCCGGGCUCAACCUGGGGGCUGCACUUGAUACGUAGGAACUGGAGUGGGGAAGAGGGUCGUGGAAUUCCCAGUGUAGAGGUGAAAUUCGUAGAUAUUGGGGAGAACACCGGUGGCGAAGGCGGCGACCUGGUCCUUGACUGACGCUGAGGCGCGAAAGCGUGGGGAGCAAACAGG